rnacentral:tRNA from 1 species
CGCCCUGAAAAAAUUCCUACGCUGCGCCCAGCUUUUAGCAAAGAUGGCACUAUCACAGCGGCUAACUCUAGCUCGAUUUCCGAUGGC